rnacentral:sRNA from 1 species
GCUUGGUGCGGUGGCGCACUCCUGUAAUCCCAGUUGCUAGAGAGGCUGAGGCAAGGGGAUCACGAGUUCAAAGCAAUCCUCAGCAACAGCGAUGCACUAAGCAACUUAGUGAGACUCUGUCUCUA